ACGAGUGGCGAACGGGUGAGUAACACGUGGGUGACCUGCCCUGCACUUCGGGAUAAGCCUGGGAAACUGGGUCUAAUACCGGAUAGGACCGCACCGUGAGGGUGUGGUGGAAAGUUUUUUCGGUGUGGGAUGGGCCCGCGGCCUAUCAGCUUGUUGGUGGGGUAAUGGCCUACCAAGGCGGCGACGGGUAGCCGGCCUGAGAGGGUGGACGGCCACAUUGGGACUGAGACACGGCCCAGACUCCUACGGGAGGCAGCAGUGGGGAAUAUUGCACAAUGGGCGGAAGCCUGAUGCAGCGACGCCGCGUGGGGGAUGACGGCCUUCGGGUUGUAAACUCCUUUCACCAUCGACGAAGGGUUUCUGACGGUAGAUGGAGAAGAAGCACCGGCUAACUACGUGCCAGCAGCCGCGGUAAUACGUAGGGUGCGAGCGUUGUCCGGAAUUACUGGGCGUAAAGAGCUCGUAGGUGGUUUGUCGCGUCGUCUGUGAAAUUCCGGGGCUUAACUCCGGGCGUGCAGGCGAUACGGGCAUAACUUGAGUACUGUAGGGGAGACUGGAAUUCCUGGGUAGCGGUGAAAUGCGCAGAUAUCAGGAGGAACACCGGUGGCGAAGGCGGGUCUCUGGGCAGUAACUGACGCUGAGGAGCGAAAGCAUGGGGAGCGAACAGGAUUAGAUACCCUGGUAGUCCAUGCCGUAAACGGUGGGCGCUAGGUGUGGGUUUCCUUCCACGGGAUCCGUGCCGUAGCUAACGCAUUAAGCGCCCCGCCUGGGGAGUACGGCCGCAAGGCUAAAACUCAAAGGAAUUGACGGGGGCCCGCACAAGCGGCGGAGCAUGUGGAUUAAUUCGAUGCAACGCGAAGAACCUUACCUGGGCUUGACAUAUACAGGAUCGCGCCAGAGAUGGUGUUUCCCUUGUGGCUUGUAUACAGGUGGUGCAUGGUUGUCGUCAGCUCGUGUCGUGAGAUGUUGGGUUAAGUCCCGCAACGAGCGCAACCCUUGUCUUAUGUUGCCAGCACGUUGUGGUGGGGACUCGUAAGAAACUGCCGGGGUUAACUCGGAGGAAGGUGGGGAUGACGUCAAAUCAUCAUGCCCCUUAUGUCCAGGGCUUCACACAUGCUACAAUGGUCGGUACAGUGGGUUGCCAGUCCGUGAGGGCGAGCUAAUCCCGCAAAGCCGGUCUCAGUUCGGAUCGGGGUCUGCAACUCGACCCCGUGAAGUCGGAGUCGCUAGUAAUCGCAGAUCAGCAACGCUGCGGUGAAUACGUUCCCGGGCCUUGUACACACCGCCCGUCACGUCAUGAAAGUCGGUAACACCCGAAGCCAGUGGC
rnacentral:rRNA from 1 species